ensembl:lncRNA OIP5-AS1 OIP5 antisense RNA 1
UGGCGGAGUAAGGCGUGCCGCUGCAAACUGGCCUCUGGGCCGGGGGCGAGCAGCCCCCGGGAGGCCGAGUGCAUCUGUUGGACCGUGCGAGGAGAAGAAAAAAAAUAUCGGCCAGAGGAGAGGAACUAACCGAACAUUCUUCCUCCCUACCUUAUAGAGGGGAGUGGUCAUCUACACUAAAGCAAAGUGUUAGGCGCGUCCGUGCGAAGAGACCACCAAACAGGCUUUGUGUUCCUUAUCACAGGAAGAAAAUUUUCCUUGACCUUUAGGUGCUUUUAUAUUCAUCUCAAAAACAAAAUUCUGAACUCAGGACUUGGCAAACCACCGCUGAAACUUCACUUCUACACAGAGGCUUUCUUUCCCAGAAACCCAGACCAGUGCUCAAUGGUGCCCAGGCUGGAGUGCAGUGGCAUGAUCUUGGCUCGCUACAACCUCCACCUCCCAGCCGCCUGCCUUGGCCUCCCAAAGUGCCGAGAUUACAGCCUCUGCCCAGCCGCCACCCCGUCUGGGAAGUGAGGAGCGUCUCUGCCUGGCCACCCAUCGUCUGGGAUGUGAGGAGCCCCUCUGCCUGGCUGCCCAGUCUGGAAAGUGAGGAGCGUCUCUGCCCGCCCGCCAUCCCAUCUAGGAAGUGAGGAGCGCCUCUUCCCGGCCGCCAUCCCAUCUAGGAAGUGAGGAGCGUCUCUGCCCGGCCUCCCAUGGUCUGAGAUGUGGGGAACGCCUCUGCCCUGCCGCCCCGUCUGGGAUGUGAGGAGCGCCUCUGCCCGGCCGCGACCCUGCCUGGGAGGUGAGGAGCGUCUCUGCCCGGCUGCCCCAUCUUGAGAAGUGAGGAGACCCUCCGCCCGGCAGCCUCCCUGUCUGAGAAGUGAGGAGCCCCUCCGCCCGGCAGCCACCCCAUCUGGGAAGUGAGGAGCGUCUCCGCCCGGCAGCCACCCUGUCGGGGAGGGAGGUGGGGGGUCAGCCCCCCGCCCAGCCAGCCGCCCCGUCCAGGAGGGAGGUGGGGGGGUCAGCCCCCCGCCCGGCCAGCCGCCCCGUCCGGGAGGGAGGUGGGGUGGUCCAGCCCCCCGCCCGGCCAGCCGUCCCGUCCUGGAGGGAGGUGGGGGGGUCAGCCCCCCGCCCGGCCAGCCGCCCCGUCCGCGAGGUGAUGGGCGCCUCUGCCCGGCCGCCCCUACUGGGAAGUGAGGAGCCCCUCUGCCCGGCCACCACCCUGUCUGGGAGGUGUACCCAACAGCUCAUUGAGAAUGGGCCAUGAUGACAAUGGCAGUUUUGUGGAAUAGAAAAGGGGGAAAGGUGGGGAAAAGAUUGAGAAAUCGGAUGGCUGCUGUGUCUGUGUAGAAAGAAGUAGACAUGGGAGACUUUUCAUUUUGUUCUGUACUAAGAAAAAUUCUUCUGCCUUGGGAUCCUGUUGAUCUAUGACCUUACCCCCAAUCCUGUGCUCUCUGAAACAUGUGCUGUGUCCACUCAGGGUUAAAUGGAUUAAGGGCGGUGCAAGAUGUGCUUUGUUAAACAGAUGCUUGAAGGCAGCAUGCUCCUUAAGAGUCAUCACCACUCCCUAAUCUCAAGUACCCAGGGACACAAACACUGCGGAAGGCCGCAGGGUCCUCUGCCUAGGAAAACCAGAGACCUUUGUUCACUUGUUUAUCUGCUGACCUUCCCUCCACUAUUGUCCUAUGACCCUGCCAAAUCCCCCUCUGCGAGAAACACCCAAGAAUGAUCAAUAAAAAAAUAAAUAAAUAAAUAAAUAAAUAAAAAAGAAAAAAAUGCGCAGACUAAAAGAGAAAG